GCCACUGACUGGGAGCCGACCGAGCAGCAUCCAUGUGUCCACAUCAGGAUCUGUGCACUCUGCACACACACAGGAAAACCCAGUUCCUGCCCUAAAGUGUUUACAGUGUAAUUUGAAACAAGAAGCAACAGGUAAUUGGAUACGGUGCCUUGGGAGGCUGCCAGGCAUGAUGUCAUACCUCCACAGGAAAAAUAUCCUAUGUAGUUACUUGAUAUACCAGCCCGUGCCUCAUCCUCAGGCAACAGAAGAGCUCUGAGCUGGGGGUAGAGACUUCCCAGGUGACCAGGUUAAUCCUCCUUUUCGUCUUGUUCCUGCACUGGCAUCUGAGGCAUCUUAUAGCUUUUGUACCAUAUCCCUCCUAGUAUCGGCCCACUAACAUUUCCAGGACUAGAUAAACCCCUUCCCAUGGUAAUGCAUCCAGAAAUGAUACACAAAUACCCUCUGGAAUGCUGGAUGAAGCAUGAAGGGACAUAUCAAUCUUUAGCGCAUCUGGCAUGUAAAUAUCUUGCGACGCUGACUGCAACAGUGCCAUGCGAACACCUGUUCUCACUUUCAGGUGACAUUGUG